UGAAGGUUUCGGUAUGAAUUAAAAGGGAAUCAGGUGAGAGUCCUGAACAGUCCCAGCUGCUGUAAUCCCAUUUUUAGGUUUUGUUGAAAACGCCACUUUCUCGAUAUAUCGGGAUGGGAAGGCCGACAAAACAGGGAAAGUCAGAAGACCUGCCAUUGUGAAU
rnacentral:ncRNA from 1 species